UACAGAGACUGCAAGCGUUAUUCGGAUUCACUGGGCGUAAAGCGUGCGCAGGCGGUUUUGUAAGCCAGAUGUGAAAUCCCCGGGCUCAACCUGGGAAUGGCAUUUGGGACUGCAAGGCUGGAGUGUGGCAGAGGAGACUGGAAUUCCUGGUGUAGCAGUGAAAUGCGUAGAUAUCAGGAGGAAUACCGAUGGCGAAGGCAGGUCUCUGGGCUGACACUGACGCUCAUGCACGAAAGCGUGGGGAGCAAACAGG
rnacentral:rRNA from 1 species